GGAGCGGCCCUCCGCAGCAGGGGGAUGUGAACUCCGUCAGGUCCGGAAGGAAGCAGCGGUAAACAUUUUUCCUGGGUGCCGGAGGGAGCCGCUUUCAG
rnacentral:SRP_RNA from 1 species